rnacentral:rRNA from 1 species
AUGAGUAAAGUGGCGCACGGGUGAGUAACACGUGGAUGAUCUACCCUUUAGUGGGGAAUAACCCUGGGAAACCGGGGCUAAUACCGCAUAAGUCCGAGAGGAGAAAGCCGAAAGGCGCUGGAGGAAGAGUCCGCGGUCGAUUAGCUAGUUGGCGGGGUAAAAGCCCACCAAGGCUGCGAUCGAUAGCCGGCCUGAGAGGGCACACGGCCACACUGGCACUGAAACACGGGCCAG